AGUGAACGCUGGCGGUAGGCCUAACACAUGCAAGUCGAACGGCAGCACAGUAAGAGCUUGCUCUUACGGGUGGCGAGUGGCGGACGGGGGGGGAAUACAGCGGAAUCUACUUUUUCGUGGGGGAUAACGUAGGGAAACUUACGCUAAUACCGCAUACGACCUACGGGUGAAAGCAGGGGAUCUUCGGACCUUGCGCGAUUGAAGGAGCCGGUGUCGGAUUAGCUAGUUGGCGGGGUAAAGGCCGACCAAGGCGACGAUGCGUAGCUGGUCUGAGAGGAUGAUCGGCCACAAUAGAACUGCGAAGACGUCCAGCCUCCUACGACAGGCAGCAGUGGGGAAUAUUAGACAAUGGGCGCAAGAAGGCUCAAGCAACACCGCGUGGGUGAAGAAGGCGUUCGGGUUGUAAAGCCCUUUUGUUGGGAAAGAAACGCAGCAGGUUCGUACGUCGGUGUUCUGACGGUACCCAAAGAAUAAGCACCGGCUAACUUCGUG
rnacentral:rRNA from 1 species